CCGUGUGUCUAGUUAGGGAUCUCCGUGGCGGCGACCAAGACUAGGUCAGGUCCUGCUCCAGCCCACGGCUACGGCUGUCGGUACCCGAUCAUCUCCUAACCACGAAACCUCGCUCUCCCACAACAGAGCGUCCAAAUGUCAAGAGUAAACCGGGCAGCCACAAACGAGAAGAGAAUCAACGUGGUUUCCUUUCCUUCAGACUGUUUUACUUGGCACGUUCUUCUCCUCCCUCUAAUAAAGAGGAGACCAAUACGCGUCACCAAACAGAGUACCGAGCCGGCCCUCGAACGUCACACCACGACUACCGCUUAUUGUGCUGGGACAGCAAGUCGCUGCAGCUCCGUUGUAAAUGAGGUCUUCACUUUCCAAGUCCAAAUUUGCCACAUUAAAUGUGGCAGCUUGGAGAACUACGAACGUCGGGAGACUAUUUCUUUCGUCAGCUUCCAGGACGUAGUGGUAAACGUAACUAAAAUUCUCCGCCGACGGUUAAACUACUAUUUCAAUCUUUACGAGUCCUACGGCCUAAGUUCCGACACUAUCAUAUACUAUUGUUUCUGGAGCCACAGGAACAAAGUUACCGACCUUCGAGUAGGCCAUAGCUGUAUAUACGACAGAAGUAGAGAUUCUGCAGUCCUCUCCACAACUUUGUUAUAAGUCCAGUUUCACUACGAGUCCACACCUAUUAUAGUUGCGCACUAUUGAGUCGAAACAGUUAGUACCGUUAUAGAAAGUGUCGUGACGAACGAUACAGACGACAAGAACGGUGAACAAAGAAACACUCUUCUGUGGUCUACUCUUCCCUGUCCCGAGCUUAUGGACGUCGUGCUCUUAAAGUACCUUACUCGUCAGUCAAUCAGUUCCGUUACGGCUCAGAAUAAAAAUGUUUUCAGGUCCUUCUGUUAACAUGAAGCAGUUGUACACGGUAAACGAACCUUCUGAUGUCACAACCACUUUUCUAUUCCCACGACGGAACAGCAGUGUUCAAGGUACGACGAACGCACCUGGACACCGAGUGUAGUACCUCCUGUAAGACGGGACAUACGUUCGCUCUACGUUUACGACCUUACAGUUUAAAGGGAGGUAGUCUCAGAUGGGGAAACGAAAGAAGACGAUAAGGGAACGGUCGACUUAGCUGUCGAAACAGAAGAAAAGCAAGUUACCAUCGUCGUAGAGGAGGUUCCUGUUAUUCGGCCGUAGGAAGUACCGUCAGGUACAGGGCGUGAUUGAGGUUAAGGUCAUAGGAGGUGUAGGCAUUGGGUACGUCUACAACAAGGUUGAGUGGACGAUAGUCAUGUUCAUCCUCGUCACAUCUGGAACGUUUGUACAGUAGCGGUACCAGAUUGUGAGACUUGGAACGUAGGCCCGUGAGGGACCCGCCUCCCGUAAAAAGAGGCGGCUAGUCGUAGUCUAUGAGUAGUGGUGUUCAGAGGGGAAAGCCAAUGUCUAAAAGACCUGUUAAACAUCCAGGUGGGGUGUAGGGGGCAAGGCUCUUGCCUAGAGGUUCGAUAAUAGAACCGAGAAGUCCCGUCGUCAUGGGAAUGGACUCCGUAGCGUGCCUCAGUCCCGGCUCGAAUAAAUGGUACCACGGGGUCAGUGGCGUUGUCUGGGUCGACGUCCUACCACCGCUGAGCCGCUGCUCAGAUAGUCGAAGUCGUAGUUGGGUCAGCGAGGCAGUCCGGAUGGACGUCGUAACGGGGCUAAGACUACACUCGAAUAGAUGACGCUGCAGUCGGGUCAGCGACGGUCCCACGACUAACGGGAAUGUCCAAGUGGUAACUGCAGGUCAAUCUGGACAAUGGUAUCUUAUUCGAGAGGCGCCGGCGUGGUAUCACUUCGCCUAAACUUACUCGUCUUCCCUCGACGGACCUUCUUCUAUGAUCUUGGCCACUGGAAAUUAGACUGGUUGAUCGACCCUUGGAACCUUCUGACCUUUACUGAGACGACUGGUGUGACUCAAACGUUCCUAACAGAACUCCGCACACACGAUGACUACUACGGUUCUCACAUAUAAUAAUGUCAAAUUAUCCCUAGACAAUCAACGUCAGUCUUUACGGAACACGAUCAUUCUACUGCAUAUAUAUAAGACAAGUACUUACGAAGUCUCUUUAUAUAGUUAGAACAAGCAAGAGUGAGACAAAA
rnacentral:rRNA from 1 species